UACGGGGGGGGCAAGCGUUUGUUCGGGAAUUACUGGGGCGUAAAGGGGCUCGUAGGUGGCCAACUAAGUCAUACGUGAAAUCCCUCAGCUUUAACUGGGGAACUGCGCCUGAUACUGGUUGGGCUUGAGUUUGGGGAGAGGGGACGCGGGAAUUCCAGGUGUAGCGGUGAAAUGCGUAGAUAUCUGGAGGAACACCGGGUGGCGAAGGCGGCGUCCUGGGACCAAUACUGACACUGAGGCACGAAAGCGUGGGGAGCAAACAGGGAUUAGAAACCCCUGG
rnacentral:rRNA from 1 species